rnacentral:rRNA from 1 species
GACGAACGCUGGCGGCGUGCUUAACACAUGCAAGUCGAACGGAAAGGCCCUUCGGGGUACUCGAGUGGCGAACGGGUGAGUAACACGUGGGUGAUCUGCCCUGCACUUUGGGAUAAGACUGGGCAACUGGGUCUAAUACCGAAUAGGACCGCGCGCUUCAUUGAGUGUGGUGGAAAGCUUUUGCGGUGUGGGAUGGGUCCGCGGCCUCUCAGCUUGUUGGUGGGGUAAUGGCCUACCAAGGCGACGACGGGUAGCCGGCCUGAGAGGGUGACCGGCCACACUGGGAGUGAGACACGGGCCAGACUGCUAAGGGAGGCAGCAGUGGGGAAUUUUGGACAAUGGGCGAAAGCAUGAUCCAGAAAUGCCGCGUGUGUGAAGACGGCCUUCGGGUUGUAAAGAACUUUUGUACGGAAAGAAAUCCUUGGACCUAAUACGGUCGGGGGAUGACGGUACCGGAAGAAUAAGCACCGGCUAACUACGUG